AAUAGAUACCCCGGUAGUCCACGCCGUAAACGAUGAAUACUAGGUGUAGGGGUUGUCAUGACCUCUGUGCCGCCGCAAACGCAUUAAGUAUUCCGCCUGGGGAGUACGGUCGCAAGAUUAAAACUCAAAGGAAUUGACGGGGGCCCGCACAAGCAGCGGAGCAUGUGGUUUAAUUCGAAGCAACGCGAAGAACCUUACCUAGACUUGACAUCUCCUGAAUUACUCUUAAUCGAGGAAGUCCCUUCGGGGACAGGAAGACAGGUGGUGCAUGGUUGUCGUCAGCUCGUGUCGUGAGAUGUUGGGUUAAGUCCCGCAACGAGCGCAACCCUUAUUGUUAGUUGCUACCAUUAAGUUGAGCACUCUAGCAAGACUGCCCGGGUUAACCGGGAGGAAGGUGGGGAUGACGUCAAAUCAUCAUGCCCCUUAUGUCUAGGGCUACACACGUGCUACAAUGGCAAGUACAAAAGAUGCAAUACCGCAAGGUGGAGCCAAACUUAAAACCUUGUCUCAGUUCGGAUUGUAGGCUGAAACUCGCCUACA
rnacentral:rRNA from 1 species